rnacentral:piRNA from 1 species
UACCGUGGAGCCUUCGUCCAGCAGGGCCA